AUGGGGCUCGGGCUUCCCUUCCCCGCCGUCGUGCCGACCAUGGGGCAAAUCGCUCCGUUCGUGCCUCCGGUGACGGGAGCGGUGCAACCGCGGGAGCCUCCGCUGCAGCGCCUGUCGGCAGAGGGAGCCCGCUGGGAGCAGCCCGGGCCCUGGCUCCCGCGGCAGCGUGGGGCGCCGGCGUGGGGCUGGCUCACUGCCGUCAUGCCGUGGGGCCGUGCUUUCCGUGCYGGCAGCAGUGUGCCGCCUGCUCGGCCUGCUGCUGCCCCGCCAUCGAGCGUCGCCCCGCGCACGGGAAGGGCUCAGCCGCCGCCAUUCCCGGGACGCCGAGGCCGCUGCUGCCCGCUGCAACGCAAGCCGGCGCCGACGGCACGUGGCACCGCGGGCACGGAGCCGCCUGGGCGCGUGCCGGACGCUGGAGCGGGCAGGGCGAAACCUGCGUGCAGCUCCGGCUCCGGCCAGCUCCCGGACGUGCGGGGGGCCCUAAUGAGACUGCCCGGCUCUGGUAAGGCAUGCGGAGAUGUUCCCAGCCCCCUCGUUACGCAAUGGCACUCAGCCUGUUUAUUCGGGCGCCGAGCCGGGGAGAGGAUUUGUCCCUUAAUAUUCGGRCGAGGGGCAUUAACUAUUUGCUCCCCGUGUCCCCGCGGCAGCCGUGCAGAGGCCGGCUCCACAUCCCCCUUCUCUCCGGCAUCGUGGGCCCUGCGUCAGCCAGGCCUGCUUAUACCGCGGGUGUUAAAUACCCUCGGCAUCAAUAGUGAGAUUGUUUCUAAUUACACCCUUCCUCUGGCAGCUCUUAACGCAGGCGGAUGGGAACUCGACCCGUUUUAUUUCAGCGAACGGCAGUUUGGACACCCAAAGCUGAGCAGACCAAACAAGCGCGCUCCACRGGGCGGGCGCUGCCUGCUCUUCUCUGCCGGGGGUGAGCAGCCGCUGGCCCGUGCCCAAGGCUCGGGCGAGGGCAGCAAGCCCACGAGCUGCUGGAGCCGGAGCCAGGCGGGAGCUGCGGAGCUUGGCCACGGCUCAGCCCCCGGACCCGGCUGUCCCUGCGAGGCACGGCGCGGAGCGUGCCGCGGCGCCUCGUUGAGCAAGGGCCAGACCUUUAACCGCAGGUGCAGCUCGCUCCAGAGCCCUUGUUCAGGCUCCUGCGGUGUUGGCAGGUCUUGCCAGGCGGUAGGAAAGACGGAGGGAAAGGAGGGGGAAACCUAA
rnacentral:lncRNA from 1 species